rnacentral:rRNA from 1 species
UAUCGGAUUGAUACUAAGCCAUGUGAGUCAUUGUAGCAAUACAAGGCAGACGGCUCAGUAACGCGUAGUCAAUCUACCCUAUGGACGGGAAUAACCUCGGGAAACUGAGAAUAAUGCCCGAUAGAACAUUAUGCCUGGAAUGGUUUAUGUUUUAAAUGAUUUAUCGCCGUAGGAUGGGACUGCGGCCUAUCAGUUUGUUGGUGAGGUAAUGGCCCACCAAGACUAUUACAGGUACGGGCUCUGAGAGGAGUAGCCCGGAGAUGGGUACUGAGACACGGACCCAGGCCCUAUGGGGCGCAGCAGGCGAGAAAACUUUGCAAUGUGCGAAAGCACGACAAGGUUAACCCGAGUGGUUUCUGCUAAAGAAACCUUUUGUUAGUCCUAGAAACACUAGUGAAUAAGGGGUGGGCAAGUU